GUAUGGCUGCACUUAAUUUCCAAUGCCAGACUCCCUCUUCUCCUGCUUAGGGCUGAGUAGCUGAGGGCAGAGAUAAUGAAGGUGGAAUUAGACUCCAAAAUUCACGCCCAAUCUUUCUGUUCUUCCUUUCUUAGACAACAGAUAUUUCACAAAUCACUUCCAGUCAUUCUUGAGUCUCUUCUGUUCUUGCCAAAAAGUACACUUGCAGGAAUGUUUUCUCUACCACAGUGGGCCAUACAUCAGACAAUACCACAGCCUACCACUAAACCAAGUGGUGUCAUGGAGAGAAGCUGCAUUCAAGACACUGAAGAGUGCUAA
rnacentral:lncRNA from 1 species